rnacentral:lncRNA from 1 species
GCGAGCGCCGCGGCGGUGGCGUGGCCGGGAGAGAAGAAAGGGGUGGCAGGGGUGGGAGGAAAGGGUGGGGGGGAGCAAGACGUGCGCCCUGCUCCCCCCCACACACGCGGACUCUAAAAUGAAAGAUUAUUCAAAAAAGAAAAAAAUAGAGCGAGAGUGCACCGGGAGGCUGCAGCCCCGGGCUGGGGAAGCGCGGGCGGAGGGAAGCCAGGUAGAGUUGCUCCCGGACACCCUCCUCCGUACGCACACCCACUUCCCCUCCCCGCCGCCGCCGCGCUCGCUCCCCGCGUGUGGACGCCAGGGGCCGAAGUAAAAGCCCCGAGCCCGCGGCUGCGCUCGGGAAACUUUGCCCGAGGAGAGGACAGCAAAGAAAAAUCACCCGAAGUUGAGAGCUGAGCCUCCAAGUUACAGCUCCGCAGCGGGCGAGGGGAGGUGGGAGGGAGCGCACGGCAACGCGGAAUCCAGCCUAAGUUUGGAGGGCUGCGGGUCCGGAAGGGCAGCGCCCAAGUCUCCAGGAGCCCGCGCGGCCUGGAAAGAGGGGACCGGGGAGAGGCAGGCGGCGCAGGCCGGGGCCCGAGGGCGCCCCCAAGGCCGAGGACAAAGCGCGGGCAGUCCCGGGAGUCCCAGUCCCUGGGAAUGUGCUCACGGCGCCGCGGGAGGUCCCCGAGCCGGGUCCCUGGGAGGGACACACCCCCUCCCACUCCAGAGCAACUGCAAAAGCACAGAGGGAUGGGAAGAAAAUGUUUCUUACGGGCAGAGCACAACUGUUCCUGUGCUGUUACCCAGGGAAAGAGAAAAUGGGAAUGGAGAGAGAGCGACAGGCUCGCAGGAGCAGCGGGGAGACCACGGUGGUGAGAUGACCGCCUCGGGUCACCGCCGCGCUCCCCAGGCGCCGCCGGCCAAGGCGCACACCCAGGAGCCAGCAGCCCCCUCUCGCCUUUCUGCAGACGUUCCCUGGAAAUUAGGGAAGACCUGUUGGAAAUAAAACCCUGUCUCUUUAAUGCACACACGCACACACACGCGCGUGCUGCCGCUGUCAAAAAGCGGGCUUCACUCUGGCGUGGGAUACUUUCAGUUUUACGUAAAAUGUACAGCAACAGCACCCCCUGCGAUUGGAAAGUUUAUUCAGAAACGUGCCUGUAAAGUCCCCUGGCGCCUCCCGCCUCCCAGCCUCCCUGCCUGCCAGCACCACUCUGCAGCCGCCGCCGCCGCCGCCGGGGAGAUCGCAGUCCGAUUCCAAAUCUGGAAGGAGUUGGGGGGAGAGGAGAAUGGACUCAGGUCCAAGGGAGGUGCGGAGGGUGCAGGGUGGAGACGGGUCGCCAUGGCCCGCGAGACCCUGAGCUGCAGGUGGAUAUGUGUGAGUGUGUCUGCAGAGCGAGGAGCCCUCCUUCCCUCUCCUCGGAGCGGUUCCACAACCCCCGUCUUCUCAUCCCCCUCUUCAGUCUAAAGGGUGUCGCUUCCGUAAACUCACCCACCCGGUGGGGGGGCUUUAUUGUUUUAAGCGAGGGCCCCGGGCUUGCACGCGCUCACCCAUCCCGCAGCCCUGCCGGCAAGCGGCUGUUUAUUCCUGUUUCGUCUUAGUAAAGUUUCAAGUCUACUGUGUUAGAAAAUGACUGGCUUGCCUAGCUCGGCGGAGCUUCGGACCCCUCUAAGGAAGAAAAGGAGGUUUUGAUGCUCAACAUUGAGAGAGAUGUGGGCUGUACUGGGAUUGUGUCAAUGUGGUUUGUUGUUUGUUGUUGUUUCCCUCCAGUUUGUGGGAGGGAGACCUCAAAUUCUGUUUAAGAAGCGGGAGGAUUCACUAGAAGUUAAGCUCUGUAGCUUGUGUGUGACACCAUUUCCCCUUUUCACUGAGUUCUUCAGAGCAGGUCAGCAUCUCUAUUCCACCACAGUCUGCUUUUUGUCUUGUUAAACCAGCCUUGGAGUCACCAAAAGAAUAAAGUGCAACUGGGAGGCCUUUGAAAAAUAAAUAAAUAAAAGAAAAGCCCCUUCAGGUAACAAUAGUGAGCCAGAUUCUUUCAGAACCAAGCUUUUCAGAUUUGAAUAUUGUUCCCACCCGUCCAUAAAAGUCCAUCUAUAGAGAAGAUAUAUAAAUGAGCGAGUGAGUGUUGUGGAAAUAUAUAUAUAUGUAUGAUUUAUAUAUAAUGGUGUGUAUAAAGCUUUUCGGGGUUGGCUGUAGUGUAAAAAGUAAUGACUUUAUUACCUCUGAAAGGUUCUGUGGUUCACAUUUAACAGUCUUCUGAAUUACAAUUCAUUACACAAUUGUGUGCGCUCUGACGAUGGCACCCUAUCAGGGCUGCUAUCUGUGGCUAUUUCCAAUAAAUAACUGGCAACAUUUUAUUGAUUUUCCUUUUUAAAAAAAAACAUAGGAAAUUAAGCACUUAGUUACAAGUAGGUCUGCUAUGUUAUUGCACUUGUUUCAG